GUGACUGUGGACAAAACAAAGUGAGUGGUAUUUUAAGUCACUAUGUUUUCAGUUCGUUUGGUACACAGCUAUAGAAAACCAGAAUGACUUUUAUCAUCAGAAACAUUUGGCUGUCAUUGCAAGAAUAUCGAGCUGGUGCAUAUUAUCCCGUUAAGUGCAUUCAAGAAAACACAAGAAAGUAACCGAAACUGUUACAUAAAACCCAAGAUAGUAAACAGAAACUGUAAGAUUGUUGCUUUAAUUAAUUUUCUAUUGCUGAGAAGAGACAUCAAGACCAAACAGCUUAUUUUAAAAACAACAAAUGUUUUUAAAGGGACAAGAGAGAUGGCUCAAUGACUAAGAGCACUGGUUGCUCUUCCAAAAGAUCUGGGUUCAAUUCUCAGCAUCCACAUGGCACCUUACAACUGCCUAUAACUCCAGUUCCAGGAAACCAAUAUAGAACAUAUGGUGCACAGACAUACACGCAAACCAAACACCCAUAAAGUAAAAAUAAACACACAUAAAAUAAAAAUAAAUUUUAAAGGAAAGGGAACGUGGCGGCAGGCAGGCAGGCAAGGCAGUAGGGUAGUAGCUUAGAGCUCACGUCUGAUCCACGAGCGGGAGGCCGAGAUCUCAAAGCCUCCUCCAACAGGGACAUACUCCCUACCACUUCCUAGACAGUUCCAUCCACCGGGAACCAAACACUCAAGUACAUUAGCCUAUGAGGGCCAUUUUCUCUCAAACCACCACAGUCCACUCCCUGCACCCCCCAGGCUUGUGGCUAUAUCAUAAUGUAAAAUGUAAUUGGUCCAACUUCAAAAGGCCCCAUGGUCCUUUAGAGUCUCAAGAUAUCUUAAAAAUCUGAGGUCUCUUCUGAGACUCAAGGAAAUCUCUUAAUCAUAAGCCCCUGCAAAAUCAAAAAACAUAUUACAUACUUCCUAUAUGUAACUUCCAAAACAGGAGGAAAGUAACCCUAUCCUUGACCCUAAUCAUAACCAGACCCUGACCCUGACCCUGACCCUGACCCUGGCCCUGGCCCUGACCCUGACCCUGACCCUGGCCCUGACCCUGGACUAAAGCAGGACUAAAAUCUAUCAGAGCAAACUCCAAAUCCUCUAUUUCCAUGUCUGAUGUCAAAGGACUCUUCAGGUCCCCUACUCCUCCAGCUUUAUCCACUGCAACCUACUCCCCUCUAUCAUAAGCUGGUUCCACACCCGUAGGCAGCUCUCUUCUGCAGACCUCCCACAGCUCUGGCAUCUCCAACAUCUCAGGAUCUCCGAUGUAGGCCAGGCUUCAUCUUCACAGCUCUGGUCACAGUGUCUCUUCAGAGCAAUAAACAGCAACAGUAAAAAGUUGCUAUGACAACUGUUGCUGUGACAGGCCUGGACACGCCUCUCUUUGUUUUGUUUUUGUUUUGUAGGAAAUGUGAGAGGAUUUGAGGACUUGGGAGUAGAGAUUGCCUGUAGCUGUAAGCAGAGCUUGACUGCCCCAUCCUAGUAGAAGCCUGAGAAACAAUGUGGGCUGUGGAAGUUUCAACUCAGGAGGGUUUCACAGGAAAGGAUUUUAGCAACGAGGUUAGCAGACUAUCCUUUUGAUAUUUUGGCAGAGAAUGUGGCUGCUUUCUGCCUUUGCCUUCUUAGGCUAAUUUUAAGUAAUGAGCAGUUUCUUUCUUUUUUUUUUUAAAUAUUUAUUUAUUUUAUGUAUAUGAGUACACUGUAGCUGUUUUCAGACACCCCAGAAGAGGGCAUCGGAUCGCAUUACAGAUGGUUGUGAGCCACCAUGUGGUUGCUGGGAAUUGAACUCAAGACCUCUGGAAGAAGAGUCAGCACUCUUAACCACUGAGCCAUCUCUCCAGCUCGAGCAGUUUCUUUAUAGAGAAGAUUUCAAGACUCCAAUCAAGUGGCUAUCAGAGGAUACCUGCGGAAGACAGUUCUCUUCUGCUGCCUGUGGAUCAAAAUGAACUCUCGGCUCCUCCAGCACCAUGUCUGCCUACAUGCUGCCCUGCUUCCUACCAUGAUGAUAAUGGAUUAAACCUCUGAAACUGUAAGCCAGCCCCAAUUAAAUGUUUGCCUUUAUAAGAGUUGCCUUGGACAUGGGGUCUCUUCACAGCAGUAAAACCCUAAGACAGUAUCUUAAAUCAUGUGCCCAUAUGUGACCAAUCACUAUGACCAGAAUAAUAGAAAACUCUGAUUGGCUAGAUCUGGGUUCCUUACCUUCCAUUAGGAACAUGAUGUUUUACCACCAAAUUAAAGAAGCACUAUAUUACAGAAUUGUAGAGUUACAGGAUCAGGACUGGAUGAUACUCAAAGAAAAGUUACUGGAGAGCAUAUUUGAUAGCUUCUGACCAACCCUCAGGGUUUUUAAUGGAAGGUAUUUGGUGUGGUAGAAACAGGAUUGGAUCCUUGGUUACCUCAGUGGCUCCCUAUACUUCAGCAGACUCUGUCAUCAAAGAAUCUUCUUCAAAUGAUUCCGGGAAGGCCAACAAAAUUAUGCAAAGAUAUUUGCUAAAGAAUCACAAAAAUGUACACUGCAUACAUAUUAAAAAUAAAACUCGAAGACUCCAUGGCUCUCCAGAAAUUGUCACAUUGCAUGAGAUCCUCCUUCAGAAAUGAAAUAGAAGAAAACCAAUGAAUGUUGCUCUAGGUCCUGGCCGCAGUGCCCAGGCUCUGGUUCUGUUGAAGCCAGUUCAAUUUAUUGGGUUCAAAUCAUACCAGACCCCUGUCCUCAGGAAUAGACAGGAAUAGCACCUGUGAUUGCUACUGAAAGUUGGAAAGGUCACGAAUCCCGUUCUAGAUUCUUUCUAGGGAAAUUUUAGUCUUUCUGCUCUUGCUCUCUGAACAACUAACAUGUUUGUGAUCUUCCUCAACUAGAGAAUGAUCCACAGUCCAGUGUGGACCAGCACGCUUAUGGGCAGCCUCGGAACAGCAAUCCCACUGAACCCAGUUCAGGGAUGGGCAAAGGAAAGAAGCCAGGCACGGGCAAUCUCUGAGCUUUUCUGUUGGGAAAUUUGUUUGGAAAUAGCCAUGUGUAGGCAGGGACCAAAUGCAGAGAAUUACACACGGAGUUUGAUUUUUCACCCAGUUACCCAAGGAAAUGUGAAUUAACGGUUCUUAGGCAACCACACAGAACAGUUCAUGCUCUGAACUGAAGGGAGAGUGAGGCUCUUGCCCAGGUGCCUGCUCACCCCUGCAGCGAUGAGGUAGGAUAUGGUAGGGGACGGGAGGCCUAGCCAGAAGGCACGUUCCAGCAGCCAGCCUCAAAGCAGGGGCUGCUUAUGCGCCUGAGGAAUAGGGAUUUGAGAGGUACCAACUCCCAAAAUGCACCACCCUGUUGCUGCCUCCAACUCUCUGUGAGCAAGUUCCUUUGUGAGCAUUAUUUUUGGAAAGCCUGCACCGGUGGGGAGAGAGCAGCGGGACAGUUGUGGGAAAAGCCUAGCGGAACCAUUAAGUCAUUAUCUCCUACUGAAUCAUUACCCCCCAUUUGUCGGAGGUGUGAUGGGAAUGGAGAGCCCUGAAGAUAAAUUUUGCCUGUCGGGUCCCUGAAAACUUACUUAAAAUGCAGACUCCCCUGCAUUCGGUCACACCUGACCUCAGCCUCUUGCUUUAAAUAAAGAGGAGACAACAUGCUUCCUCCUGUCAUUUGGCGGGUGGGCUUUGCUGAUUGUUGAUAUACCAGUGCCCUAUUGGAGACUUCUGACCUCCAAGGCCGCCUGGCUAGAACAUGUUUUUUGGUACCAACUUGUUAAAAACAAAGUCUUAAGUUUCCUUGAUGUCCAGAUGCUAUUUGUUAAUGGGAACAGUGUUGCUUUGGGACCACAUGGAAAGGUAUUUUCUCUCUGAAACAAAAAGGUUCUAAAUACAGAGGAGGGAAGCUUCCCUCCGGGUUAGGCUGCCAGGAUUCUUAGUCUUUUGUUCUUUCUUAGCCAGUCUUUUGCUUGGAAUUGGAGACUAGAAUGGCCGUUUGCUAAGGAGUCCGCUGUUUCUACCUACAGGGCACCUUCAUACAGAGACAGUGUUACCUCAGGACAUAUGGCACUGUGUGUACUUUUGAAAACAGGGAGCUGGAAACUUUCUUUCUUGGGCAUUGUCCCUCUGCUUCCCACCCUCCAUCCCCCACCCACUCCUGCAGUUUCCACACGCAACAGUUUCCAUGCUGUUUGAGCUCGAUUUGCAGAGUUAGAAAUAUUAGAACUCUCAAACAGCCAUCUCUACCAUAUGCCAAAACUGGUCACUUCUAACAACCUCAGCUGGCACGUCAGAGGGCCAAGGAAGGUCCGGGGGUCGAGUGUUAUUUUGUGGGCAACCCUUAUGCUAGACUUUUUCCUUAGAGGAUUGUUCUGCCCAGUUAGAUGAGUAAGUGGCCGGCUUCCCAAGCCUGGGAUGCUGUUGCUGAAAUCCAGUCAGUUCUGUGAGAGGACAGGGGUCACGCAGAUGAAAAGCUGAGCUGUGGAAUCAAGUCUGCCCUCGGACCUCACCUCGGGCAGGCAGCCCUCUGAGGGAUGUUCAGUGACAGAUGAACCACAGCAGUGCCAAAUCAGCUUAUUUGAGAAUGUGUUGAGAUCCAGCCAAGCCGACAGAGGCUGGGUCACAUAAGAAACAGCAUCUGCCUAAUCUGAGAAUUCCGUUAGCCAAGUAGUCACCAAAUAGACACAGGAAAUUGACUCGACUUUCCAGAAUGUACAGUUGAGGCCCCCUCUGGUGUGGGCCACAGGAAACCUUCUCCCUGCCCACUCCUCUUCCUCACAUUUGGCAAGGGUGAGGUGUAGAAUCUUAGGGUAAAAAUCAAGAGUAAGAAGGCUGGGAGGUGGAGCGCCAUUACUCACCAGAGAUAAAAUUCUAUCCAAAGAAUCUGCUGAACUACGGAAGCUGCUGGGUACGGCUGUGGCCCAGGAGGCUUCCACAGUCCCACCUUGAGUUUGAGGCGAUCCUGGCUACAUAAGUGAACUCCUAUUUCAAAAAUAAAUAGGAGGCUACGUUGGCAGCUUAAGAGUUAAGAGCACUUCCCACUCUUACGGAGGACCAGAGUUCGGUUCCCCACUCCCGUGUCAAAUAGAUCACAACCAUUUGUAAUUCCCAUUCUAGGAUGUCAUGUGCCAUCUUCUGGUCUCCACGGGCACCUGUACACGUAUAGCAUGCACACGAAUGGGUAUACACACAUACAUAAAACUUAAAAAUCUUAGGGUUGGGGAUUUAGCUCAGUGGUAGAGCGCUUGCCUGGCAAGUGCAAGCCCCUGGGUUAGGUCCCCAGCUCCGAAAAAAAAAAAAAAAAAAAAAAGAAAAAGAAAAAAGAAAAAUGAAAAAAAAACUUAAAAAUCUUGAGAAAUAAAUUAAUUCUUUAAGAUAUAUUUGACAGUCAUUUUGCUCUCCGACCACUGGAUGAAUGAAGUGACAAUGUAUAAUCUAAGCAAAUUGCAGUUUCCCCAUCAGCUGUGUGUGUGUGUGUGUGUGUGUGUGUGUGUGUGUGUGUGUGUGUGAAGAGGUAUGAUGGACACCACAGAACCUACCCACGCUCCUCCACCUACAUGCUUCCUGGUUUUUACCACGUGACUGGAAUUUCCCAGAUCCUCUGCUGAUGGGUGGCUUGGGUUUCAUUCACAGUCCACUCCUGCAGGGUCUGGCUCCUCCGCCCUCUGCCCUCCGCCCUCCGCCCGCCACACCACACCCUGCCCUCUGCCAGGCUUCUCCCCAACCCCCAUUCUUGCUGACUUCUCCAUUGGUUAUUUACUUCUGUCCCUUUGCACUUUCCCAGCCUCGAACCCCUGGGAAUUUCUCCUGGGUGUGUUUUUCUUUUCUUCCUGUGUUGGGGUUGAAGGAUAGAACUAAAACUCAGACUGAUCCAAAGCCAUGAAUGAGUGAGCACAACAGAAGCCGUGGGAAGCAGAUGAGAUUCAGGCCGCGGUAGUGCAUCGCUGGCAAAAGCAGAAAGCCUGGACCUAGAAUUCAAUCCAGGAAAGAUGAAAUGGCUCAUUGUGCUUCUUAGGUCCCCACAGACCACAGACCCCUUCGCCUUCCUUCUUCUCACUUCACUGCGUCCGUUCCUGUUUGUAUAUUCUGUUUCUAAGAACCAUCAACUCAUCAAAUAACAGUAAGAAUAUGAGCCAGUACUUGCCAUGUGCCAGGCUCUGUGUUUGGUUCAUGGUGGGUAUGAUGGUUUGUAUAUGCUUAACCUAGGCAGAGGCACUGCUAGGAGGUGUGGCCUUGUCGGAGUGGGUGUGGCCUUUGUCGGAGUGGGUGUGGCCCUGUCGGAGUGAGUGUGGCCUUGUCGGAGUGGGCGUGGCCUUGUCGGAGUGGGCGUGGCCUUGUCGGAGUGGGCGUGGCCUUGUCGGAGUGGGCGUGGCCUUGUCGGAGUGGGUGUGGGCUUUAAGACCCUCACCCUAGUUUCCUGGAAGCCAGUCUUCUAGCAGCCUUCAGAUGAAGAGGUAGGACUCUCAGCCCCUCCUGCAUGAUGCCUGCCUGGAUGCUGCCAUGCUCCCACCUUGAUGAUAAUGAACUGACUUGAUGGCUUAGUCAAAAUGAAGAAACUACUCGGAGGCUGAAUUAAAGAUGCCUGUGUCCAUUCCAGAGCUCUUUUGCAAUCGGAGAAGAGCAAGGGCUCCUUCCUGAGCAAGUUGUGUUCUUAUGGGAACCCAGAUACAGACAGCAACAGUGCUUCUA